rnacentral:lncRNA from 1 species
CAUGGAGGAAGAGGAAGCAGACUCAUGGGAGUGGGGGCGUGGGGAGUGUAGGUUGUGAAACAAUACGAGAAACCUCCAGAGCUAGCAAAGAAAGUUUUGUUUCUGGAAUUUCGAAUUCAAACUUUUUUCACAGUCAACAUUUCUGUGACUAGAAGACAAUAAUUGGAUGAACUAGCUGAAUGCAACACAAGGCAUGGAAGGGCAAGCCGUUACCUGUCCUGAGUUCAAGACCCAGCUCACGUGCUACGUCACUGUGUGAGUACCCCCAAGCUCUCUGAUACGUAAUUGUUCCAUGACCCUGAAGUGUUGAGCAUAAAUGGUGCUUCACUACAACUUGGAAGCCUAAAAGAUUUCUAACAAUAUGUAUGAUAUUGUCCUAAUCCUCUUUUUCAGUUGACUCCUUCCCAGAGGGGCCUCAUGUUGCCUGUCUUUGCUUUGCUGUCUUUUAGUCCCUGCUUCUCCCCUCCUUUUUCAUAUGUCCUGGGGGAACUUUUAUUUUCAUCUAGUUCAGGGUUCCUUUACCUCUACACUCUUGAGCUCACGGGUUCAAUGAUCAUUUGUUGCAGGCAGGGGCUGGGGUGUCCUGUGCUUUGUAAGAUAUUGAGCAGAUGCAUCCUUGUUUUCUCCUCACCAGAUGCCAGUGCACUAUUCUCCUGGCUGAAAUGGAUGGAAAUAUCUCCAGACACAUGCCAAUAUCCCUCCAGGAGCCAAACAAUACACCCUCCCCUCCAGUUUGGCAACACAGUGACCAGGUUUUCUUUCUGGAAAUGAACCUGCUUCCAUGAUGAACAUUCCUCUUUUCCUGCCUUCCUGAAACCAAAGGAUGGUCCUUUAGGACUUUGCAUCCUGAACAAAAGAGACAAAGAUGGAAAAAUAGUUGGAGUACAUUCAUUCCAAGGUAUGGUCAAAACUAUUGGUGAUUUCCUGCCGCCUAGAACCCUGGAAUUGCCCACUUUCUGCUGUUUUCACACUUGGUUCUCUAGUCUUCUCUCAGAUUCAGUAAGCUAAACUCCUGGAGCCUCUGCUCUUUCCUCCUGAUGCCUUUUAUUUGGUGCCUGCUUCUCCCUUGGACCUGUCCCCUCUCCUCUCCUCCCCCCUUCCCCCUAGCACCCGGCUCUUCACUUGAAGCUCAACCUAGUCGUCUGGUGUUCAACUCUCUUGCUCCAGGUGGCUGGCUGCGUGUCUGUGCCUCUCCCUAACCCCACCCUCUAGACUGCACACUCCCUGAAGGCAGGGAUAAGAUCUAGUCCACUUUAGGAUUUGACUUCCAGCACUGAGCAUUGUGUACAGCGUGUGCGGUUUCUGAAUGCAUGGUUAUUGUUGCUGUUGUUUAGAGGUCCAGCAAGGUACUGGGAACUAUUGCAAAAUUAUCACAGAACAGACAAAGCAGAAGGCAGAGCGGAGCGAUUCCUGACGCAUCUUCAGACCGUUUCUCAGAAUCCUGCCAGUGGACAGAUGUAGAGAGUCCUCGUUCUUCAGUGAGCCCUGGCUCCUGCAGCCACCCUCUCCUCUGCAUCACAUUUUUCACUGCACCGUCUUCCUCCUCUCCUUCUUCCCUCUUCCUUGCUGUCAUCACCACCCUUUUCUUCAUCGUCAUCAUUAUCCUCAUCACUGUUAGCUCUUUUUGUGUACUUAUUAAUACUACGUGCCAGGCCUGUUAUAGGUAAUAUCUAAGAGGAUAAGCUUCUUGCCCAAGAUUAUAGCUAAUUUCAUAGCAAGGUUAGGACUCAAACGGAAGUCAGCUUGACCCCAAACCUGUGUUCUUGACCCU